UACGGUGAAUACGUUCCCGGACCUUGUACACACCGCCCGCCAAGCCAUGGAAGCUGGGUGUACCUAAAGUCGAUAACCGUAAGGAGUCGCCUAGGGUAAAACUAGUAACUGGGGCU
rnacentral:rRNA from 1 species